rnacentral:rRNA from 1 species
UACGGAGGGUGCAAGCGUUAUUCGGAUUUACUGGGCGUAAAGGGCGCGUAGGUGGCUAGGUAAGUCCAAUGUGAAAUCCCGGGGCUCAACCCCGGAAGUGCAUUGGAUACUGCCUGGCUGGAGGACAGGAGAGGAGGGUGGAAUUCCUGGUGUAGAGGUGAAAUUCGUAGAUAUCAGGAGGAACACCGGUAGCGAAAGCGGCCCUCUGGACUGUUUCUGACACUGAGGCGCGACAGCGUGGGGAGCAAACAGG